GCGUGUAGCUUGCUAUCUCAAAGGUUGUUGUUUCCUGAAGAGAAUGGAGUUUGAGAACAGCAACACCGAGAGAGAGGAAUGGGAGGGACAUCCUCUUUCUGGUAGGGAAUGA